rnacentral:lncRNA from 1 species
GGAAGUGACUCCCUAAGAUGAUCAACAAAGUCCAGGUUUAGUCUGCAGGUCUCAUCAUUAAAGAUUCAGUUUUAUAUGAAUCUACAGAAUCCUACAAACACUGACGACACGUCUGCUAAAAGUAAACCACCUUUGACGGCUCACAUCCGUGUUUACUUCCAAGAUUGAACCCGAAUAACAGAAUUUAUUCAGUAACCUUCUCAACUGUGGAGGGUUUGAUAAACCAAGACCUCUGUAUCCUGACCGGAAUGAUUUGAAGGAUGGCCUGCCCUCUUGUGGUAAAAGCUGAGAAUACAUCCUCUGACCUGUAACCCUCCUAAAGCAGCCUCUCCUCAGUGUUUCCGGUUAAGAAGAGUGGAGAAUUUGACACCACUUCACCUUCUUCCAAGGUGAACCGGGACUAAGAAAAGUUUGACACUCCAGGAAGACCUGAUCGAGAUGAGGGCGACAAGCUGAAAGUUGUUCUUCGACUAAAUAAAACACUGGAGUUUCAACAAAUACUAGCAUCCUGAAAUAAGUUCAGUUUCUAUCUGUCCUUAAAGGUGGGGUAGGAAGGGUUUCUGUUAAAGAAGCGUCUCUUUUUUGUGGUGUAUUUACAAAAAAACCCUCGAACACACUGUCGACGGGUGAUUUUCAUGAUGUUGCGUUUGUCUGAGUAUCAUGGGUCCCUGAGUAUCUUCAGCAUUUCCUUUGACAUCUUUGAAGACAUAUUUGUUUCCCUGAUCUAAAACCUGCAGUAGUGAUAGAGGGUAAAGUAGGUUUGGGUGGAUUUUAUAGCUGCAUGUAGGGAAUAAAGUCAGUAAGAGCGGUCCUGGAAUUUACAUGCUAUCUUUAUUUAGCACAGUGGUUAUGAAUAACUAUCACAAAGUUGUGAUUUUCAAGGGAAUUCAUAUGGUGUUACGAAAUAUUUUUCAUUUUUACUCACUCUAAAUCUGCCAUAUUUUGGUUCUCUCUCCUGCAGCUGUUAUUGAGGUCCCCUCAUGGCCCUUUUUUCCCUCCUUUUGGACAUUAUACAGUUAAAAAUAAAAGAAAACUACUUUAGUUUGUCAUGUUUUGUCAUAUUAUGAUAUAUUUUGAUGACAAGUACUUUUUCUUGGGUUUAUUAUUUCAGGUUAAAAUCACCCGGCGAUAGUGUUGGUGUUACUGAUUUGAGUGAUAGUGUUCUAGGGUUAAUAUAAGUCAAUAGUUAUUAGUAAUCGAUGAUAUCAGGUAAUAUCACAAUAUCUCUGUGUUCUCUUAUGUCUGUGUAGUCAACAUUUUAACAUGUUUUAAGCGGCCCACUCUUUCUGACUGUAAACAAAGCCGUUCUCCACCUCCCUGAUGUCGACAUGUAGUUACAGUCAGACUGGUUUGUGCUCAAGUCCUCUUUUUUCUGUACAGCUCCAUUUUUAAAAGUUAUUAAGGGGUUCAUGUUUACUAUGAUUGACACUUGAUACAGCCAAUGGGUGUACGAAGAUUUUUUGUAGGAUGGUAGGGAAAAGUUUCGCCUCUGAUUGGCUAGAAGUGGUGGGCUCCGAUUGGUUAUUUUAGCUUUUCUAGCCAAUCAGAGGUGAAGGAGGGCGGGACCCUUCCCUACCAGCCUACAAAAAUAAAUAAUUAAAUGGCCACCCGGGGGAUACGCUGUUUGUACCGAGCGUCAUCAUAGCGACUACCGGCGACUCUCCUGCCGAAAGCGCACAUCGCUAUUGCGCAAUGUCUGUUUCAGGAAGUGGAGAGAAAACGCGGAAAUACCGAGAGCUUCCGGCUUCAAAUCCGUAUACUGGCUAUGAAGGAGACGCUUGGGGAUCUUGGUGACCCUGUAACCUUUCUGCUGGACAGGUAAACCGCUUUAACAAAGUAAGACAAGUGUCUGUAACAGAAGUGUUUCUUGUCAAACGGACCUGCUGUAGCGUGUUGUAGCGCCAUCGCUAAACUGUUGACCUCGGGUCCUGGACUAUGUCACUUUAUCCUAGUUGUAGAAGUCCUGCAAACAUUGUGUUUGCUGGUAGUCUGUUGGCAUCUACAGUAGCACCAAUGCUUUGUACUUUCACGUCGACUGGGCCCCAUUUGUAAUUAUCUGAAGUAUUUAUCUGCAUUAUAUCUGAAUUUAACUGGAACUGACUCUGAGUUGUGGGCAGAGACAGUGCUGCUCUGCACACUCCUCUUCACCUUAGUUUGAAGCCUAACAUUGCUGGCGUAGUAGAAGCGGCAGGUAACAUGGGAGCUCUUCAACUCUAAGACACUAAUGUCUUUGGAGAAAUGAUGAAAGUUAACAUCAUAAUUAGCUUUCUUACAAGCAUUGCAAUCCGCUAACACACAUGCUUGUUCUGCUAUCGUCUUCUUUAUUUCUCCGCUGUAUGUAGAGUGUG